rnacentral:rRNA from 1 species
GACGAACGCUGGCGGCGUGCCUAACACAUGCAAGUCGAGCGGGGUUGAAGCGAGAGGUAACUCGAGUUUCUACCUAGCGGCGGACGGGUGAGUAACGCGUGGGCAACCUGCCUCAAGGUCUGGGAUAACAGCCCGAAAGGGCUGCUAAUACCGGGUAUGCUUGUGGCCUCGCAUGGGGCUAUGAGCAAAGGGGAAACCCGCCUUGAGAUGGGCCCGCGUCCCAUCAGCUAGUUGGUGAGGUAACAGCUCACCAAGGCGACGACGGGUAGCCGGCCUGAGAGGGUGACCGGCCACACUGGGACUGAGACACGGCCCAGACUCCUACGGGGGGCAGCAGUGGGGGAUCUUGCACAAUGGGCGAAAGCCUGAUGCAGCGACGCCGCGUGAGCGAAGAAGGCCUCGGUGUAAAGCUCUGUCUGGAGGGACGAAGGAAGUGACGGUACCUCCGAGGAAGCCACGGCUAACUACGUGCCAGCAGCCGCGGUAAACUCGUCUCGUA